CUUACCAAGUGCUGAGCCAGCGACCACUGGAUUCCCAGCAAGACAGACGGGUUAAUACGCGGAGGCAGGGGGCGCAGAGGGGAGAACUUCAGGGACCCGGACCUCGGGGAGACCCAGAAAGAUCACAGGAGGGGCCUCCGAUCCUGCCUGGGCAGGAGAGGUUACAGGAGGUUUCCUGGAAAAAGGAGGACCUAAGUUGGGAUUUCUAAUUUUUAUUGGUUUCCUAAAACAUACAAGU
ensembl:misc_RNA